UACAGAGGUCUCAAGCGUUGUUCGGAUUCAUUGGGCGUAAAGGGUGCGUAGGUGGCGCUGUAAGUCGGGUGUGAAAUUUCGGAGCUUAACUCCGAAACUGCAUUCGAUACUGCGGUGCUUGAGGACUGGAGAGGAGACUGGAAUUCAUGGUGUAGCAGUGAAAUGCGUAGAUAUCUGGAGGAACACCGGUGGCGAAGGCGGCAUCCUGGACCAAUACUGACACUGAGGAGCGAAAGCCAGGGGAACAAACGGG
rnacentral:rRNA from 1 species